UCCGGCGUGGUCUCAAAUCUGCGCUGCCGCGCCGUGCGCAGGCGCGGAGGCGGUCCCUGAGCGCCUAUCGAGUGGCGGGUACCUCUCUGCUGGCGCGCCAGCAUUCCACGGCCGCUAGUGGCGUGGGCAGGACUUGGCCUGCUGAAUUGUGACUAGGACCCGACCGCGUUUUGGCUGAGAGGAGGCACUUGGCAUAUGCACAGAAGAAACCAAAGGCAGCUGCCAUGAAGACUCACGGAUCCUGCCACAUGCCCUACUAUCUUUCACAACUCGCAGGAAUGCCAAGUGUCUCGCUAUUUAACUGUGGCCAGCCUGGAACGUAGCAGGUAUACCAGACUGGUUGGGAUUAAAGCUGCGUCAUCAUGCCCGACUUAACUGGGUUCUCUUAAAAACCUUCUAAAGCCAAAAACACAAUAACCUAUGUCUUCAAAUCUAGUUAGGUGACAUCAGCGGACCUUGGACCCAUUUCUUCUGAGCAUCUCCGCCCCCAACCACUUUUAUCACAAGAGACUUUAAAAGAACUCUGCUCCCUCCCGAACAGAUUGAAAGCCCUCCCUUCGUCUUGUCACUGGCGCUUUAAUAAACUACUUGCCCGAAGGUUA